rnacentral:misc_RNA from 1 species
GGAAAAUGUGGCUUUUCAUAUUCACAUUCCAAACUAAAUAUUGACUUGGAUUAUGAAGGUCAUCUACUCCACUGUCAAAGUUUACAGAGCUGGGAUGAUAUGGUUCACAUCCAGGAGCGACAACUUCCACAUUUCCCAAUAUGACAUGACAGAACGCUAUGUAUCUAACCCCUUUUUCAUCAUCAUCGCAAUAGCUUGCACUAAGAUUUGCGCAGCUUGUAGGUGAAAGGUGAACACCAUAUGAGGAUGUAAGCUUCAGUCCAGAAUGACCGACCCCAUAUGGCAUGCUACCAGAUAAAACAUCCUUAUUCAGAGGUAGCCAACCAUGCUGAACAUUGGCAUUCCCACGACUCUUCUUGGUUAUCUCUAUUUGUUUUUGAAACAGAUCCAGUCUAUCCUGCAUUAAAGGACUAGACCAGCGUUUGACCCCAAGUAUUUCAAUGUUCUUAAGAGAUCCCAUGCUCGUUAAGAACAUGUUUUUUACAUCAUUCGAAUCCAAAGCUGAAUGAAUUAAUUCAUUUUGAGGCGCCAUACAACAAUCAAUCUCUUUUAUUCCUCCAACAGCCUCCUGCAUUUCAGCAACUGGUUUCUGACUUUUAGUUUCACUGCCUUCCCAAUC